rnacentral:rRNA from 1 species
UACGUAGGUGGCAAGCGUUGUCCGGAUUUAUUGGGUUUAAAGGGUGCGUAGGCGGUCCUAUAAGUCAGUGCUGAAAUAUCCCGGCUUAACCGGGAGGGUGGCAUUGAUACUGUAGGACUUGAGUAAAGUUGAGGUUGGCGGAAUUGACGGUGUAGCGGUGAAAUGCUUAGAUAUCAGGAGGAAUACCGAUGGCGAAGGCAGGUCUCUGGGCUGACACUGACGCUCAUGCACGAAAGCGUGGGGAGCAAACAGG